UACGGAGGGGACUAGCGUUGUUCGGAAUUACUGGGCGUAAAGCGCACGUAGGCGGAUCUGUAAGUCAGGGGUGAAAUCCCGGGGCUCAACCUCGGAACUGCCUUUGAUACUGCAAAUCUCGAGUCCGGAAGAGGUGAGUGGAAUUCCUAGUGUAGAGGUGAAAUUCGUAGAUAUUAGGAAGAACACCAGUGGCGAAGGCGGCUCACUGGUCCGGUACUGGACGCUGAGGUGCGAAAGCGUGGGGAGCAAACAGGG
rnacentral:rRNA from 1 species